rnacentral:rRNA from 1 species
GACGAACGCUGGCGGCGUGCUUAACACAUGCAAGUCGAACGGAAAGGCCCUGCUUUUGUUGGGUGCUCGAGUGGCGAACGGGUGAGUAACACGUGAGUAACCUGCCCUUGACUUUGGGAUAACUUCAGGAAACUGGGGCUAAUACCGGAUAUGAGCUCCUGCUGCAUGUUGGGGGUUGGAAAGUUUCGGCGGUUGGGUGUGGACUCGCGGCUUAUCAGCUUGUUGGUGGGGUAGUGGCUUACCAAGGCUUUGACGGGUAGCCUGCCUGAGAGGGUGAGCGGCGACAUAGGGACUGAGAGAAGGCACAGACUGCGAAGGGAGGGAGAAGUGGGAAAGAUUGCAGAAUGGGCGGAAGGCUGGUGAAGCAGCGCCGCGGGCGGGAAGACGGUCUUAGGGUUGUAAACCAAAUUCGCCAGUGACUAAGCGUGAGUGAAGGGAAUGGGUAAAGAAAGACCGGCCUAAUAAGUG